rnacentral:rRNA from 1 species
GAUGAACGCUGGCGGCGUGCCUAAUACAUGCAAGUCGAGCGAACAGACGAGGAGCUUGCUCCUCUGACGUUAGCGGCGGACGGGUGAGUAACACGUGGAUAACCUACCUAUAAGACUGGGAUAACUUCGGGAAACCGGAGCUAAUACCGGAUAAUAUAUUGAACCGCAUGGUUCAAUAGUGAAAGACGGUUUUGCUGUCACUUAUAGAUGGAUCCGCGCCGCAUUAGCUAGUUGGUAAGGUAACGGCUUACCAAGGCAACGAUGCGUAGCCGACCUGAGAGGGUGAUCGGCCACACUGGAACUGAGACACGGUCCAGACUCCUACGGGAGGCAGCAGUAGGGAAUCCUCCGCAAUGGGCGAAAGCCUGACGGAGCAACGCCGCGUGAGUGAUGAAGGUCUUCGGAUCGUAAAACUCUGUUAUUAGGGAAGAACAAAUGUGUAAGUAACUUUGCACGUCUUGACGGUACCUAAUCAGAAAGCCACGGCUAACUACGUG